AUUUUAUCUGUCAUUUUCGACGGAUCGUGAAAAAAGAUGGAGAGACGUCGCAGGCAUGAUGAGAAGGAAAAAGGUGUAUUGAUUUUAGAAUUAAUUUAUAUAAUUAUUUUGAGUUGAGUUUUAGUUCCUUUUGAGAAGAUUUAUUGUUUUUUUUUUUUUGUUGUAAUUAAAAUUGAAAUGGCUAUGUUC